CAGCAGCACACUGUGGUUUGCA
rnacentral:miRNA from 2 species